UACGUAGGGUGCAAGCGUUGUCCGGAAUUAUUGGGCGUAAAGAGCUCGUAGGCGGUCUGUCGCGUUGUCCGUGAAAUUCCCUGGCUUAACUGGGGGCGUGCGGGCGAUACGGGCAGACUGGAGUACUGCAGGGGAGACUGGAAUUCCUGGUGUAGCGGUGAAAUGCGCAGAUAUCAGGAGGAACACCGGUGGCGAAGGCGGGUCUCUGGGCCGAUACUGACGCUGAGGAGCGAAAGCGUGGGGAGCGAACAGG
rnacentral:rRNA from 1 species